AUAUCUUGAGUCCUUUAUUUUACAUUUGUAUAUUUUGUAAUUUGCAAUGAAAUUGAGAAAAAUAACGCUUCCAUUACAUUUUUAUACUUUGAUGAUUAAUCAUUUAAUUAAAACUAUUUAUUUGAUUAUCGCGCGAGAGAUUGUAGAUGUCACCAGAGCACGAAAAAGUGAUUCCAUCUAGUGAGAUUAAAGGAAAACAGAGAAUCUAUUAUUUAGUAACGUAUAAAGGAAAAGUGGGGGAGCGGCGCGAGGAAGAAAAUGGCCGACAAGGCAACGGUAAAAGGGCAGGGACGUCUAGUGAGAUUCGUGUUUUGGAAGAAAGAAAUGUGAAAUUCGUGUUAGGUCUCGUAGAAGCAGACGGAAAGUAUUAAUAAAACGAUCGUGUUAUUGUUUUUUUUUUUUAGUGGUGUGUUUAAGUAAAAUAUUACCAGAGUAGUCUAUUGUAUUUGUAUAUUAAUUUAUUGUUUAAAAAAGAGUUCGCGGGCCGUGUGUAGGAAUAAAAGGGCUCGCUAGAGUGUAUAAGUCUGGCAAAAUUUCGUACGUGACAAAUUCAUCGAUCAGUAGAGUAGGUUUAUGUUAGCCACUUGUGGCCAUCUACGGAUACAUUUAAAAGGUAU